rnacentral:rRNA from 1 species
CGUGUAGGCGGUUUCCUCAGUCUGAUGUGAAAGCCCGGGGCUCACCCCCGGAAGUGCAUCGGAUACUGGGAGACUUGAGUACCGGAGAGGAGGGUGGAAUUCCUGGUGUAGCGGUGAAAUGCGUAGAUAUCAGGAGGAACACCGGUGGCGAAGGCGGCCCUCUGGACGGAUACUGACGCUGAGACGCGAAAGCGUGGGGAGCAAACAGGAUUAGAUACCCUGGUAGUCCACGCUGUAAACGAUGGGCACUAGGUGUUCGGGGUAUUGACCCCCUGAGUGCCGCAGCUAACGCAUUAAGUGCCCCGCCUGGGGAAUACGGCCGCAAGGUUAA